ACGGGUGAGUAACGCGUGAGCAACCAACCUUGUACAGGGGGAUAACAGCUGGAAACAGCUGCUAAUACCGCAUAAGACUACGGGACCGCAUGGUGCUGUAGUAAAAGGCUUUAAGCCGGUACAAGACGGGCUCGCGUCCCAUUAGCUAGUUGGUGGGGUAACGGCCUACCAAGGCGACGAUGGGUAGCCGGCCUGAGAGGGUGUACGGCCACACUGGGACUGAGACACGGCCCAGACUCCUACGGGAGGCAGCAGUGGGGGAUAUUGCGCAAUGGGGGGAACCCUGACGCAGCGACGCCGCGUGAGCGAGGAAGGCCUUCGGGUCGUAAAGCUCUGUCCCCGGGGACGAAGAAGUGACGGUACCCGGGGAGGAAGCCCCGGCUAACUACGUGCCAGCAGCCGCGGUAAUACGUAGGGGGCGAGCGUUGUCCGGAGUUACUGGGCGUAAAGGGUGCGUAGGCGGCCCGUUAAGUCAGGUGUGAAGAACCCUGGCUCAACCGGGGUAUUGCACUUGAAACUGGCGGGCUUGAGUGCAGGAGAGGGGAGUGGAAUUCCUGGUGUAGCGGUGAAAUGCGUAGAUAUCAGGAGGAACACCAGUGGCGAAGGCGGCUCUCUGGCCUGUAACUGACGCUGAGGCACGAGAGCGUGGGGAGCAAACAGGAUUAGAUA
rnacentral:rRNA from 1 species